rnacentral:rRNA from 1 species
CCUACGGGAGGCAGCAGUCGAGAAUCAUUCACAAUGGGGGAAACCCUGAUGGUGCGACGCCGCGUGGGGGAAUGAAGGUCUUCGGAUUGUAAACCCCUGUCAUGUGGGAGCAAAUUAAAAAGAUAGUACCACAAGAGGAAGAGACGGCUAACUCUGUGCCAGCAGCCGCGGUAAUACAGAGGUCUCAAGCGUUGUUCGGAAUCACUGGGCGUAAAGCGUGCGUAGGCUGUUUCGUAAGUCGUGUGUGAAAGGCGCGGGCUCAACCCGCGGACGGCACAUGAUACUGGGAGACUAGAGGAAUGUAGGGGGAACCGGAAUUCUCGGUGUAGCAGUGAAAUGCGUAGAUAUCGAGAGGAACACUCGUGGCGAAGGCGGGUUCCUGGACAUUAACUGACGCUGAGGCACGAAGGCCAGGGGAGCGAAAGGGAUUAGAUACCCUAGUAGUC